GUUAGUUUUAAUAUUCAGUUUUCACUGAUAUUUUUUUUCUUCCUUGUUUCUUGUCCUGAAUUAACAUAUUAAGUUUGUGUUAAUUAUAUCAUAUUAAGCUCUGGCUAUAGAGUUGCAGUGACAACUGAGAGAAAAUGAAGGGAAACUAGAGAAAAUGAAAGAAAGUGAAAAAAAAAAUCUAGAAGAUGGAAUUGGGAGAUUGAAUUUACUAGGUAUUCAAAAGAUGCUCAGGGUAUUUCAUGUAACAUUACGUAUUUAUCCAGCUGCUAGCGACACUUGCUCCAUUGAUUCAUAUCUGCCACGACACACAUUUCUUACCCUUUAUUUAUAAACAAGCUUGAGCUUUUAAGUAGGAGAAAACUUGUAUGAACUUAUGCUAUGUUUGGUAUGGCGUAAAGUAAUAUAAUGCAGUCAAAUUUUAUAUGCAUAAACGUUGAUUACAUUACAUUGUAUUAGGCUCUAUAGCCUUAAUCCACUUCUUGUAAUUGAAUGUUGAUUUCGAUCUCAUUAGGCACAGUCGCCGAUAACAUACG
rnacentral:misc_RNA from 1 species